rnacentral:pre_miRNA from 1 species
AUCAAAAUUACCUCGAGGACUAAUUAAAAUGCAGAUUUGGCUCCACCCUCAGAGUUUCUGAUUUAGUAGAUCUGGAGGGGGCAGGAGAAUCUGCAUUUUUAGUAAGUACCUAGGUGAUGUUCUA